GAUGAAGAACGCAGCGAAAUGCGAUAAGUAAUGUGAAUUGCAGAAUUCAGUGAAUCAUCGAAUCUUUGAACGCAACUUGCGCUCCUUGGCAUUCCGAGGAGCAUGCCUGUUUGAGUGUCAUGAAACUAUCAAGCUACAAAUGUUCUUGUUAGCAUUUGUUGGUUUGGACAUUGGAUGCUUUGCUGGACAAUAUUGUACAGCUCAUCCGAAAUUUAUUAGCUGGUCUAAAUACCUUGGACUAUAUCCACUUGGCGUGAUAAGUAUCACCCGCUGAGGACUUGUUCAUUGGAGGUUGACUGCUUCUAGUAACCCAAUUAUAUUUGAAUCAUCUGACCUCAAAUCAGGUAGGACUACCCGCUGAACUUAAGCAUAUCAAUAAGCGGAGGA
rnacentral:misc_RNA from 1 species